rnacentral:rRNA from 1 species
UACGUAGGGUGCAAGCGUUAAUCGGAAUUACUGGGCGUAAAGCGUGCGUAGGCGGCUAUGCAAGACAGAUGUGAAAUCCCCGGGCUCAACCUGGGAACUGCAUCCGAGACUGCAUUGCUAGAGUAUGGGAGAGGAAAGCGGAAUUUCUGGUGUAGCAGUGAAAUGCGUAGAUAUCAGAAGGAACAUCAGUGGCGAAGGCGGCUUUCUGGACCAAUACUGACGAUCAGGUGCGAAAGCGUGGGGAGCAAACAGG